rnacentral:hammerhead_ribozyme from 1 species
AUCCAGCUGAAGAGUCCCGAAUAGGACAAAACUCACAUCGUGGAU